GGAUGACCUUGGAAAAUAGCAGGUUUUUACUAUCCCAAGAACUUGCCAGUCAAGAUGAAAAACUUCUUCUAAUGGAAUCCAGCUUGAAAGCAACUCAAGAGCAGCUAAGUGAGCAAACAGCAGAAACAGUUCACCAAGAACAGAACAGUAGAAAAUCACAGACAGAGCUGAAAGAAGAUCCUGAGAGAACGUAUUAUAGCUUCUGAUGAAGAAAUUAGUGAUUACAAAUACAUCUCAGUGUGCACUGUAUGGAGACACCAAAGCAGAAAUACUCGCAUAGAUGACAGAAUGUUCAUCUUGUUUGCAGUUGUCUAAACUCUUACAGAAAAAAUCCUGAUUUCUCUUAAAAAAGCAGAAAACUGUGUGGAGAACUUUAAGGUCUGAAAAAUGUGAGUAAUGCCUCCAGAAAAGCUUAAAUGGGAAUCACGCCAAGAAUGUGGGACCAGGAAAGUCAAAUUGUCAGACUGAGACAAAACUUUGUGGAAAUGGAAGAAGAAGUAAAGAACUUAAGACUUACACACAGCAAUGAUGCUCAGAUGAUUGAUAAGAAUCUGAAUACUCUGAGAAAUGAGAUGAACUUGUAUGAAGACACAUAGGAUGGUAGUCAAAUGAGCUGAAGUUUAAAUAUGAACAACACAAUGCAACACUGAGGCCUGCAUGACUGUAAGAAUGUUAGGUAAGACCCCUUAGUUACUUUUAGACAACUGUUUCUCUGGAAUGUUUCUUUAAUAGAUAUUAAGUCCUUGAAGAGAAAUAGAUUUCUGUAGCUUUGUUUUGCCACUUCAUUUUCAAAUACUAAAUUGAAAAACUGUGUAGAAAGGGAAAUAAUAUCAUAGUAAUUUUAUCAUAAAAGAUACUCAUCAUUUUUUUAAUUAAAAAUAUUCUCUUGUGCAGCUAAUGUUUAGGUGAAGAAAAUGGUGUAGAAUUUUUCAAUACUGAAGUGUAUGAUUUCAAGUCUUGUUUUCAUCCUGUGCAAAGUCAAAUAACUUGUGGACAAAGAAUACAUAAUUUUCCAAAUCUGUGAACUGAAAAUAGAAUGACAGCAGCACGUUUUCUUGAAAACUAAAAAAGAAGAAGAAAUAAUAAAACAAAGAUUUUAUUUUAUUUAACCAUAAGUACUUAUGGAAAACAAAAACAAACAAACAAACAAAAAUGGAUAUUGCAAAUGCAGAUGGUGCACAUUGAUACUCAUAAUUACUAAAUACACUUUCCGUAUCUCAUAACACAUUAAUAUACAAUAUAAAAAGAGCUGGAAUAGUUAUAGUCAUUUUCUUUUUACUGCUAAAAAAUUGAAUUUAUGUCAGUUAGUGUAUUGAAAGCUCUGAAGUGUCACUAAAAAGUGAAGUUUAUAAUUAUUCGGACCUACUAUCAGAAAUUCCUUAAGAUUGUUACAGCUCUUACAAUAAAUAUUUGUCUGCCCCGUAUUUGUAAAAACAUACAAUAUUGGAACAACAACAACAACAAAAAGUUAAGUAUUGUUUUGAACUGGGAAACACUAAGUUGUGAUAGAUUUGCAGUAAUACUCUUGAAAAUAUAAUUUAAAUUCACACUUAUAUUUGUGAUAAAAAAUGCUUCAUGGCAUUUUGUAACACUUCUAUAGGGCAUCACUAUUACCUCGGUUUGUAUUGAGACACUGUUGCUGUUUGAAAAGUUAAUCAUGCAGUACUGCUCCAUUCCCCUGGGAGAAAGGUGCUGGGGAAGGAAAAAAUCCAAUUGAGGUAGCAGAAAUUAAUUUAUUAAAAGGAAUGUGAGAUAAUAGAGAAUAAAUAAGAGUAAUAAAUCAAAACAAACCAAAAAUAAAACUGGAGGAGAGAGAGAGAGUCCAUCCAAAUCUUUAUCAGCAGGCCCUCCACUGUUUGCUUCCUGUAAAAGACAAGAGAGUUCUUCCCUUGUAACCCAGAAUUGGAACCAUGUGGAGGCUGCUGGAAAAUUCAGUACAUCCCAGUGCAUCUUUGCCUGGGGGAGUCAGAACUCACAUGAGAUUGCUAGAGAUAAACAGGAAACACAUCUCCGCAGUGCACUGUGCACUCUGCGUCCAACAGCCUGUUGCAUGAUAUUACGAUAUGGAAUAUUGAUAUAACCAGAACAGAGAUACAGUUGCAAUAUUUAAUAACUUAUAAUAUUGGACAAAAUAAAAAAGCUGCAAUUAAAAAAAAAAAAAAAAAAGGCCUGAAUAAUAGUUGUGAUAAUAAUUUAGUUUUUAUUAUAGCAGUUUACAGUCAGAGAUUUCAUAUUUUCAGAAGAUGUGCAAUUAUUGUUAUUUUUAAUACUAUGAUUUUACUUGUGUGUAAUAUGAUUUUACAUUUAUAUAUGUACUUUGAGGUAUAAAAUUGAUUUUUUUUUUUUUUUUUGGAUCACAGGAUAGAAAAUUGUCUUUGGUAGCAGCAAAGAUUAAAAAAAUAGUAUCACUUAAAUAAAUACAUGUGAAGAAGCCAAAUUUGUAACAAAAAGGAAACCAGUAAAUGAAUUCACAAAAGCCAGCUACUACAUAGCAAAUCUCUGUAUAAAUGGGCUGAGAGUAUGUACCAAGAAGAAGGCAAGUAUCUAUUCUUUUUCAAUGGGAAAAACAAAAAACAAAAAACAAACAAACAAAAAAGCUAUUUCAUCCUUACUUUGGGAAAAAGGCACACAAAACCAAAGCAAAAAAUGCCUCACUGACUGCAUCUGUCCAUUCUGUACUGUAAUUUGUUUCCCGCUAUGAAGAUUUAGGUUAAAUUCAUUUCUAUUAUUAAAGACAAAUAAGCUGCAAAAGAACUAAUUCUCUGUCUCCAUCUUUUACAUGUAUAUUUAUUCAUAUGAAUGCACUUUUGUUCAUUUAUUUUUACUUCUACCUUGACAAAGCUGUGCAAAAAAUAACAUAGUUUGAUUACUCAUAAUUUGCAUUUGUGUAAUUAAUAGGGAUGAAAAGGAUUAAAAUCAAUGGAGAAAUAUUUAUUUGUUUAAAUUGGAUAACUAUGGAAAAACUAUUUGGCAGGAAUGAAAGCUUUUCCAUCUAAAUUACGUCAUAUAAUUUAAACUGUUUUAGUUUUUAAGCUUAAAAAGCAUGAAAAUCACAAAGCAGAACUGGAAGAAGACACAGAAAAAUACUGCCAUGUAAAGGAAGAGCCUUCAGAACAAGGGUCUCAGCUCAAAAUUAGCUAGCUGGUCCAUUCUGGAGUGGGAAAACUGAUAAAAUGCCGCAGUACUCAGGUAAUACCCUUGAUACAAUAUGUGGAAGGGAGACAGUGUUUGAAGUAAUAUCAGUGAAUGUAUCAGAGUACUCUCAGAGAAUUUUUCCAACGGAUAAGGAAAUAUUAUUUAAAUAAUACUAACUGUAAAAUUCACUCAUGAGUGAUUGAGAAAACAUGAGAAAUAUUGUUGAAAAUAUCAAGUCAAUAUAACAGCAGCAUUUCUUCUUUUAAAAGUGUUGUGGGUGGGAUUCACCUUGUUGAACUGGAGGUAGGAAUAUUUGAAAUAGAUGUCUAAGUUCCAUUGCUGUCAUUGGAGACUUAAUCAACUCAGUGAGUGAAAUCAAGGGCUAUCAAUACCUUUCAUUACCCAAAGUGAACCUACAGAAAAGCUGGAGAGUGACUCUUUAUCAGGUAGCAUUGUCAUAGGACAAGGGAUAGUUGCCUUCAACUAAACUAGAUUAGACAUUAGAAAGAAAUUCUUCACUAUGAGGACAGUGAGAUACUGAAAUAAAUUGUCCAUAGAAACUGUGGAUGCUCCAUCUCUGGGAGCAUUCAAACGUAGGUUGAGUGAAGCCCUUGGCAACUUGAUCUCAUGGAAGGUGACUGUGCUAUGGCAGGGAAUUAGAACUAGAUGAAUUUAAGUUCUCUUCCAAACCAUUUUAUGAUUCUAUGACUAAAUAUUGAUCCAAUCAAUAUUAAGGUUUUCAGAGGAGCUGAAAAUCAAUCCCAGUGACAAUAUUAUUCAUUGUGAUAGAACACAUUCACACACCGUAAUGCAGACAUCCAAAUUUGGGUAAGAAUAAUCAGAUUAGAAAAGUUAGCCUUUUUGCAGCAAUUCAUUAUAUAAUACGGAAUUAUUUUAUUUAUUUUUGUUACUAAUAAGAGUACUAGAUGUUUCACAAGCAUAGAUACUGGUCAAUUAUCUGAGCAAUAUCCAAUAUAUAAAUACACAAAGUUAGAAGGAAAUGAUCAAUGCCAGAGAGAAAUAAAAGUUAAAAUAAUACAUGCUUUUUCUUCUGUGUCUGAGAGAAUGUGAGUAGAUGUGAAAGUUGGAAAACCAAAAGAAUUAGUAGUAUGACAACAUUCCUUUUCUACCCUAGCAUUGUCAAAAGAUAACAAGAUUAAUUCUCUGCUGUAGUAUUUCACUACAGUAGUGUGUUAAUUUGAGGGGCUUGGCUGAGCCUUAUUCAGCAUAUAAUUAGAAUUUACUGAACUUUAAUUUCUUAUCAUCUUUAGGCUGCAUUAUCAAAGUGUUUAUAUUGAAACAUUCAAAUGUUCAGUUAAAAAUAAACUUCAGUUUGUCAAGGAUACAUUGUAUACAAAUUCUGUGGAAAUAUUUGAAUAAAAUUGUUCACUUUUGCUUUGUGAGAAAUGCUUUGCACUUUACAUAUUUAUAACAUAAUGUCAUUAGAGUAUGUAUCUUAGAAAUAUAGCAAUUUCCUGGUGAAUUUAUUGAAUAAAUGCUUAUCUAAUAAGUAAUUUGAGAGUAGAGAAAGAUCUAAUGAAAAGCUAAAUACACAGUGAAAUCCUAAUCAAGCAAUUGAAAUAGUUACUCAUGAUAAAACUAAGAUUAUCAGAGUAUCAGAACACAAAUUACUCCAUUAAUCUUUUGAAUUAGUCAGUUCUUAUUUUCUGAAGCUAAGUAACUUGGGAAGGUACACUCAAGGUUUCAUCUUUCUGAAGACUGUAUUUAUUACCUUUACUUUCAUAAAGAGUUCAUUAGAAAGAAUAUUACAGUGAAAUACGUUAACUUUUUAGCCUGUUUUAAUGAGGUCAUGUGAGUCUUUAAUUAUCUGACAUAAAACUGCUUAGUUUUACGUAGUAUCUACAGAUACUAAUUAGUAUCUACAUAUAUACAUUAGUAUCUACAUCAAUUAGUAUCUACAGAUAUUAACGGAUUCAUAUGUCAUAAAGCCAGAAGAAACGCUGUUAUUGAAUCUUAUAUGUGGCACAAUGCAGGCCACAGGACUUCACUGAAUUGAGUAGUUGUAAGAGAUUAUUCUUUUAUAUGAUUGACUCAAAGUUUGCUGAGGAACAAGUCCAGGCAAGUCCUGGGCAAAGGUACAGAAAUCUUCUGUCUGGAGGACACUGAUGGACAGGUCCUGGCUAAAGGAUUGUGAAGUCCUUUAAGGAGCACAGAUGGACGAGGCCAGGGGCAACGAGAGAGGGAUAAGCUGCUGAUAAUGGCUGAGAAAUGGUCUUUUGUGUGGACUUAUCUAGAAGAAGAUGGCCAUCUCAGGAGCUACGCACAUGACUCUUGCUCAAGCACCCAGGGAUGUCACGUAGGCAGGAAAAAGAGGAGGAUAAAAGAGGGUCUAACAACCAUGAGGAGAGGGUUUCUGCCAUCAGAUCCCUCACCACGACGGACUCAAGGUUUCUGCCAUCAGAUCCUUCACUACGGACCAUAUGCUGAUGGACUUCCCUGGGCCUGCUACCUGAGACCUGCUGCUUCCUCCCAGACUUACUCUGCGGCUUCUUCCUGGACCCACCCGGUACCUGCACCCUCUCGUUGCCCAAGACCGGCCUCGCUGCUCCUGCCCUUCAGCCUCGGACCAUCAGAACAUCGUGCAACAGGACUACUGCUGGUGGUGACUAUCCCCGCUUUAUGCAAUUCUUGCUUCUUUCUAUCUUUUCUAUCGCUCGCCUUCCCUUUCCCAUCACCCCAAUCCAUAAUAGUGUCCGUCCUCCCCUUUCUUCAUCUCCCUUAUUAACAUAUGUAAUAAACUGGUCGGACCAACAUUUGAACCGUUGUUUCUUAAUCUCACGCCGGGCAUACAUAUUUCAAAGAACCUCCUCUCCCUCCUAUAAAUUGGAGUGAGACAGUAGUACAUUAUGUCUAAGUAAAUGUGAUUAAAAUGGAGUAUAUUAAAAUGGAGCAUACAUUUUUUAUACAUUCUUGACUUUAAAUAUACACAAUGUUAGAGAAUUCAUUACGGUCUUUCACAGGUUGCCUCAAUAGUUAGUAAAACAUAUAGCAUGCUGACUGUUCAUCAUUUUAGCAUCUUUCUUGGAAUGUUAUACAAAUCUCAACAUAUAUAAAAAUAGUUUUUAUGUCAUCUUUAUCAAUAACAUUUGAAAUAUCAUAAAACUGAAAGAGCAGAUAGUUUUACAAGAUGUGUUUACAGUAAAUCCACAGUAACUUUGGUUAUUAUAUUAAUGCACAUUUGUUAUAUGUAUCUACAGCUAACACAAAUUACUGUGGAAUUAUGAUAUUAGCUGUCCUGAUAUUUUGCUUGAAAGAGAUAAGUAACUACCCUCCUUGAAUUACUUGAAUCACCCUCUUAAAACCUAAGAAAUAUUAGCACAGAAUUAACAGAUAAAUUAAUCUGUACUGUUUUGGAAGUUUUUAAGGUUGUCAAGACCAAACACUGUAAAUAUGGCCUAGAAAUUCUUUUCAAAAGCACUUCAAAAGCACUUAGAUAUGUUUUACGUAGACAAUUUGAAAUAUAUUUAUACUUAUGUGAUUGCAGUCACUUUUAUCCUAAGACUAAAAUACCAUACAUUCUUCAGUUAUAAUAGAAUAUUUCACAUGAAGGGUUCUACAGAGAUCAUCAAGUCCAACUGCCUGACAACUUCAGAGGUAACCACAAGUUAAGCGUAUUACUGAGGGCAUUAUCCAAAUGCAUCUCAAGUAAUAUUAGGCAUGGGACAUCAGUCAUCUCAUUGCAGUGAGAUAAAAGCCUGUUCCACUGUUUGAUGAUAAAUAAAUGUCCAGUAUAGUCUGAAACUCCCCUGGCACAGCACAGCUGUGUGCCACUCCUGUGCAACCUGCAAUCAGCACAGAAGAUACCAGGGAGCAGAGACCAGCACCUCCCUCUGUACUUCCUCUCCUCAAGGAGCUGCAGAGAGCAGUAAAGUCAUCUUGUAGACUCCUAUUCUCCAGGCUAGACAGUCCAAGAGUCCUCACCCUUUCCUUACUAGACAUGUCUUCCAUUCUGAUUACCUGCUUUGUUGCCAUUGUCUGGACACUUUUAGAUAUCUUAAUAAUGUUUUUAUGUUGUGGGGCAUACAUUAUUCAAGGUGAGGUUGCACCAACUCCAAAUAUAUCAGGACAAUCACCCCAAAAAGCAGUUUGCCCUUUUGGCAACCAACACUGCUGGUUCAUACUGAGCCUGCUAUCAUCAGCCCUCCUAGAUCAAUUUGUUCUGAGCUGCUCUCCAGCCAUUCAUCUCUCAGUUUGUGUCAUCUCUCAGGUACUGUGCCAGGCAUAGUACCUGACAUUUACCUUUGUUGAACUUCACGCCACUGUUUCCCCAGUGCUCCAAUCCAUCCACAUUGCUCUACAAGACCUCAGCAACACAACUGACCAUCUACUAGCCAAAUGGGUCUCCAUCACUACAACACUUUGAGUUCUACCAUUGAGCCAGUUUAUCACCCUGCAUAGUGUGAACAUACUUAUCUCACAGUUGGACAAUUUGUACAGAAAGUUGCCAUGAAGGAUCAUAUCAAAGGCUUUACUGAAUUCUAGAAAGAUGACGUACGCUGCCUUCCUUCAUCCACCAAGUGGGUAAUCUUAUAAAAAGAAAUCAAAGCAAUGAAGACAGGGCUUUCCCUUCAUGAACCCAUAUUGACUAUGCCUGACAAUGGCUUUGUCCUUCAAGUGCCUUUCAGUAACACUCACUAUAAUCUUCUCCAUAAAUUUUUAGGGUACUGAAGUUAGGUUAACAAGUCUGUUACAGAUUUGUUACUUUUGUUACUUUGUUUUCAGUAAGUUCUUUCUCUUUAUUUUUUGUUUGUUUGUUUAUUUUACUUUGUUUUGGGAAGAGGAGAGCUUGUGGUGGGGAGUGGGGUUUUGUCAUCUACGUAGUGCUAUUGAAGAUAAUACUACUUUUUUAUAUUUAAACAUUUGAUCCUCAGAAAGUUUCAUCCUAUUCUUUCAUGUUUACGAGAUUUUUCUCUCUUCAAACACUUUUUUUCUUUGUAUGAACAUUUGCAAAUGAGUGUGUACAUGCAUAUCAAUGACCAUGAGUACAUGGGGCUUAUCUGUUCCUCAAAAAUAUGACUUGGUCAAAAUUACUUUUGCAUAAAGAACAACUGAAUUUCAGCAACGUAAUCCUUUCCUACUCAUAAGUCUUAAAUUAAUGUGCAAAAUUGAAUUAAUCAGCAUAUUUAAUUACAAUUUUUUUGUUAAACUUAUUUAUCUGUGAAGGUGUUAUGUAUAAUUUUUGAAAGUUAAUGGAUACAUUAUUAAGCAAAGAGUAACAGCUCCAACAAACCAGAAUUAUUUAAGUCUCUGAGGAAAACUAAGAUUUCCCUUCUGAUUCAUCUUUAAAAUCCUGUUUUCAACAUCUUUGCAAAGUUAAUUUUAGUUUUUUAAAAGCCAGGUAACUUAAAAUAAUUUUUCUGCCCUUCAUUCCUCUUUUGUUUAUCGUGUUUUUCAGAAUGUUGUUCCAUUAGUGACUUUGAAGUCAGUGAUGUUAGAUCAAAUUAUUCAAAUUACUAGCUUUUGUUGUUGCUGGUGCUGUUUUGUGGGUUUUUUUUCUUUUGUUUUGUUUUGUUUUGAUUUUCCUCUUAUGAAUGUAAUUUACUGGUGUAGUGGUUAUUAGAACAGAACUUCACAGUGUUUGUGUUUUGUCUUAAUUAUAAGUAAUUUUAUAUCACUAAUAUUAUCAGUAAACUUGUUUGUGUAUAUUUUACUCAAUGAAAUGUUAAUGCCAAACUUUGAACAGAAACUGUACUGACUACUUCUAUCUUAAAACAGACAGUACCAGUAGCUGAUUGUUUUACUUUUGUUUCCUUUCAUCAAACAACUCUAUUCAGAAGGUGAAAAUUUCCUUUUCUUCUUUUUGAUGGAAUUUCUUUUCAUUUCUCCCCUUUCUUUUCAUAGUUUUACAAACGGUCAGUUACACAGUUUAUUACAAAAUAUGUUGAGGCACAUGCCUAGAAGGUGUGUUGAAUGGCAUACUCCAUCUACUUGUGGCAUCUAUGCAUAUUAAGUUGUUAAAAGCAUGUUUGUCAAACUUAUAUGACAGUUUUAGCAAUUGUAAAAACGCAUAUUUGCUAUGCUAUGCUAGAAGAAGAGGAAGAAAAAGAAGAAGAGAAGUGAAAAAAGAGAGGAGAGGAGAGGAGAGGAGAGGAGAGGAGAGGAGAGGAGAGGAGAG
rnacentral:lncRNA from 1 species